AAACAAGUAGCGGACGGGUGAGUAACGCGUAAGAACCUACCCUUAGGUAAGGAAUAACUAUUGGAAACGAUAGAUAAUACCUUAUAAGCUUAUAGUAAAAGAUAAAAUCGCCUAAGGAUGGGCUUGCGUCUGAUUAGCUUGUUGGUGAUUUAAAAGAUUCACCAAGGCAACGAUCAGUAGUUGGUCUAAGAGGAUGAUCAACCACACUGGGACUGAGACACGGCCCAGAGCUCUACGGAGGGCCAGCAGUGAGGAAUUUUCCGGCAUGGGCGAAAAGCCUGACGGAGCCAUGCCGCGUGGAGGAUGAAAGCUUGUGGAAUCGUAAAACUACCUUUGCUUAGUUGAAGAAAUAAGACGGGUAUCUAAGGAAUAAGCAUCCGGCUAACUCCGGGGCCAGCAGACGAGGUAAAUAACGGAGGAUGCAAGCGUUAUUCGGAAUUAUUGGGCGUAAAGCGUCUGUAGGUGGGUACAGAAGUCUACUGUUCAAUAUUAAGGCUUACCUUAAAAAGCGGUAUGAACUAAAAAAACUUGAAUUGAGCAGAGGUAGAGGGCAUCCCGGAGACAUGGUGAAAUGCGUAAAGAUCGAGACAAACACCG
rnacentral:rRNA from 1 species